UAUAUCAGUUCAUUAAAUUUUGUAGUGUACUUCAGUCCAAGACCUGAAAUUUAGAAAUGUCUUAAUAUUACAGGUUGUGUCCAGAGAUGUUGGUUGCAUUAGAAGAAAGCUUGGAUGCAUGACCAGAAUUGGCGAACAUCCUCAUUUAUUCUUUUCAUUUCCCAGAAAUGGCCUAACAGAAGAAACGCUUGGAUGCCUCGACCUAACUGGUUACCUCUGUAGAAAAAAUAUGAAGCAUAGCUGGAAAGUCCAUGCUGACAGAAUGGAAUUCAGAGUUCUGUGGCUGAAGAAACCAUUUGAAGGUCAGAUACCAAUGGGAACUGAUCACCUUCAUGAAUAGGUUAUAUUUAAAAGAGAUGGCUUGGUUGAAGAAACAUGAAGAUUAGACACCUGUGGUAACUGUCAACUUUAUUGAAAAGAUUACAUUAAAAAAAAUGGUUUGGCUGAAAAAAACAUGAAACCAAAAUACCUGUGAUAACUGAUCACCUUUACUGAAUUAGAAAUGGUUUGGCUUGCGGGAAAGACGAGAGGAGAAAGAAAGAAAAGAGAAGAAAGGAAAUGAAGCCAUUAUACCUAUGGUAACUGAUUACCUUUCCUGAAUUAGGAAUUAUUUUGAUGAAGGAGGAAUGUGAAGCUCAAGAUGCCUACAAGACAACUGGAUGGCAUUAUGAAAAGAUGUGUGUAGCAGAAAGGUCUGUGCCAUCUGAGUGGAAAUCAGAUCCAGUCCAGCCUCCCUGGUUUAAGGAUAAGCUUGGACUUUGCAAGCACAGCAACAAAAUGGAUUUGUUAAUGAUAUAUAUAGUGUGAAUGGUAAUACCCUCAACUGUGAUACCAUGAUA